UACGUAGGGAGCAAGCGUUGUCCGGAAUCAUUGGGCGUAAAGCGCGCGUAGGUGGCUUCGUAAGUCCGUUGUGAAAGUCAAAGGCUCAACCUUUGAAAGCCGAUGGAUACUGCGGAGCUAGAGUACGGAAGAGGCGAGUGGAAUUCCUGGUGUAGCGGUGGAAUGCGCAGAUAUCAGGAGGAACACCAAUAGCGAAGGCAGCUCGCUGGGACGUACUGACACUGAGGCGCGAAAGCCGUGGGGAGCGAACAGG
rnacentral:rRNA from 1 species